UUCGCCAUCUGCUGCAGAAUCUCUUAAAACAUAAACUUUUACCUGAUAUCACUUUAUACAAUUUUAUAAAUUUCUAAUUUAUCAUAAGAACAUGAAUUAACCAUUCCACAUUUAUAACAGUGGUUUUCUUCUUACUGAAAAUAUUAAAGACAAGAACAAACCUCAGGCCUCAUCUCAUGACAGUUAUCACACUCGGGCAAAGAAUGAGGUGGAAGAAGGUGACACUGCUGCAGAUGUGGAAGUGUCUGAGCUGGAGAAAUGCGGAGAACAUCUGAAUUCCAUACUUGCCCCUUGUGCGAUGAAGAACUAAGUUGCAGGGGAGGGGGAGUAUUUAUAAACUGUCUCCAUAUUUCCCUGUCAUUCUGGAUGUUUGGAUUUAGCCUGGGCUUGUCAGCUAGAUCAUAAACAAGCCAACCCAGCUCCUGAACUCUCAAUGAAAUGCUUCUAACAGACAGACAAGCUAGUAAUGAUUCCAAAGGAAAAAUUGUAAAUGAAGGCUAAUGAUUGCUGGGGAAUUUCCUUAGGAAAUUCCUUAGGAAUGAUGAACCUUACACACAGGUGUAUUUUGGAGGUGGAAUCCAAAUUUCAGCCUUGGGCACUUGCAGGAGAAGAGGGAUCCUUAUCUAUAGCAAGGAAAGUCCGGUACCCCAGUGUGUCAAGUGCUGACAGUGAACUGUCCAGGGAAGGAGCAGCAAGUCCCCCCUGCCCUCACACUCAGAGUGGCAGCAGCCACAGGUGUCAGCUAUGAGAAUGAUGAGGACUGGGAACAGAUACAGCUGGGUGCUGUAAAGAUGAUGAGGAGGCGGGUCCUCCUGAGGCUGCUUUAAGAGGGGGUUGCCUCAGCUCACUUUGGCAUGGAGCUGCUGGAAGAGAGAAGUUUAUGGUGGGCUCCCAGGCAUGUCUCAUGGAGUGAUGGUGAGAGCCUCUCAUUGGGUCUGGGGGAGCUACUGGAUGCACUCGGAUGUGGGGCAUUGCUUGAAGGAGGUGCUGGGGGGCAAACCUUUGUGCUAGACAGGGCAGCAGCUGGUGAGCCAGUGGGGGUUUGUACAGGGGACUUUCCCCUUUUGCUUUUCAGUUUUAUCUUGUCAAUCCCUCCCUGUUGCCCCUGAAAAAAAUGGGGGUUAUGAGGACAAAAGAAGUUUAAAUUGAGGGAAGAAAUUCCUCUUUUCUUAUUGUCUGUGUUUAAAUUGGUGAAAAUCCCCCUUUGCCUAAGAUUUUAAUAAAUAGUAGUAUUUAAAUGUGGUUUUUAUUAAAUAUUAUGGUUUUUAUUAAAUAUUAUGGGGUUUUGGUGGUAUAUAGUGUUUUGCUUUAUUUUUUGGUUUUAUUUAUUAGGUGUAAUUUAGUUUUUGAGUGAAGAUAACUUUAUGAAUGGGUUUUAUGGAUGAGCUUGUUUGUAUUUGAGGUAGAAUUAAUUGGAGUAGCUUUUUAAAUAUACUUCUGAUAAAUGUUAUUGAGGUUUUGUUUUUAUUUAUUGUAUGUAGGGAUUCAGAUUUGGGUGUUUUGUUGGAUGCAGCUUUUAAUAUUUAAAAGUUUUUUCUGUUUAGUUGUUUUAAGGUGGUUUUUAUUAUUUCACUGUGUAGAUUUAUUUUGUUUGUUGAUGGUGUAUGAUAAGGGAUACGGUCUAUUUAUUGAAUGUUAUAUUUCGUAUUUCAGGCAUUGAUCGGGUUGUUUUUAGACUGGGUUUUGUUGUGGUGUUUUUUUUGGUGUUUUUUUUUUAUGGGGUAUAAUAUUUUUAAAGGAUAUGCUUUCUAAGGCUUAUAAUGCUGUAAUGGGAUAUAACAUGAGGUACAGGGUAUGCUUUCAGUCAUUUAGUGGUGGUUUUUUUAUUGCGGUGAGUAUGUAGUGUUUGUUUUGGUUGGUUUGAGGUAGUGUGAUGUAGUUAAUUUGUUAGGAUUUUCUAAAAAUGUGGUUGGAUUAUUGUUUAUUAUAUUGCAAGGGUUUAUUUAUUUGGUUUGUUUGGUUACAGUAUAUGUUUGAUAGCUUCAGAUAAUUUGGGAGAUACUGUUCAUGGUUAAAUUGAUCUUUUGGGUUUGUGUGUAUUUAUAGGUGAUAUUUUUGUUUGAAUGGUUUGAGGCAUUAUGGGUUUAUUGAGUUAGGAAUAAUAUUUUUGGUGUUGUUAAUUUAAGUUUUUUGUGAUAUUUUUAUAUUUGUAGUAUGAUUUGUUUGUUGUUUUGGUGGGUCUUAUUUGUUUUAUUUUUGCAAACAUGGGUAGUGAUAUGAUGGAUUUUUUUAGGUAGUUUUUUGAGGUAGUGACAUUCUUCUUUAGUAGUUUAGAUUUUUUCAUGUUAUUAAUUAGUUUGGGUUUUUUAGUUAAUUUUAUAGAGUAGUGGUUAUUAUUUAUGAGUUAGUAUAGGUGUUUUUUAGUUGUGUUUAGGGUCAGUUGUACAGUUGAGUUUAGCAAGUUGGAUUGAUUUAUCUCUUCUGCUAGUUUUUGUGAUUUGUUGUGUGGAAUUCUAUAUGGUUGUUUUUAGUUUUAGUUCUAUUUUUAUGAUGUGAUAAGAAUUGUUAGUGAAAAGAGUCUAGUGUUCUUUGUUUGUAUGGUGGAGUUUUUUAGUUUGUGUUUAUUUUUUGGUUUUUUGUUAAUGAUAAUAAAGUUUUUAUUUUGGGGUUAAUUCGUGAUUACUUGAAAGAUUUUAGGGACAUUUCAAUUUUUUUAUGUGGGUGUGCUGUAUGAAGAGAGUAAUUUAUUUGUUUUUCAUUAUGUUGGUGGCGUGGUGGGUAGAGGGCAUUUUUGUAGUAGUUAUUUUAAAUGUUUGAAGGGUUUUGGCACUUAAAAUACUUGUUUUGAAGGAAGUUUGAAAUCUUUGGGGUUAGUUACAGUGGGAUUUUAAAAUUUUAUUUUUAAUUAGGUUUUUUAAGGUUUAAUUACAGUUAACAGUUGUGAUUUUUUUUGUUGUUUUAGUACUAGAAGUGAAUUUUGAUUUUGUAUGUAGUGAUGGGAUUAUUGUAUAUGGCAUACUAGUGUUGACUGGGAUUUAAAUUUCUGUGGUUCUGAUGUGUUAGGUUAAAAUGUUUAUGUAUUUCAAAACACAUGGGAUUUUGCUUUUUAUUUGGUUAGAGACAGGUCUUUUUAAGUUUAGUGGGAUUCUGGGCAUGUAUUUGAGGUCUUUUAAGAGAAUUGGUCAAGGGAUUAUUUUCACUAUAUUUGGUAGUUUGAUUGUGGGUAAUCAGAGUUGGCUUUUUUUGGUGCAAUUUUUUUGAGUUUUCUUUUUUGAAGUUCAUGUAUUUGUGUGGUUAGGGCAGUGGUGUUUCUGGUGUAAUUCUAAGCAUCCAUUGUUGUUUGUGUGUUCCAGCUGCUCCGCUCAUAUUACACUGAGACCCUCUCACAGAGCGGCCAACAGCUCUGCUGAGAUUGUGCCCUGAUGUUUGGUUUUCUUUGUGAGAGCUGACUGAGACACAGCAGCCCAGGGACAGCAGGAAAUUCCCUGAGGGCAGGACGGCCUUCCUUUGCACCUGACGCAGAUUCUCGACCCCGGAAGUCCCAGAGAUAAGUAGAGGGCUACGAGCCACAGAAGGGAUGAAAGCGGGGUGCCGUGUGGGGACUCACCGGGAGGGGUCUGGAGUCAGCUCUGUGGACUGGGAUGGCCCAGAUGUGACACUUUAGGCCACAUCAAGGGAAAGUCUCUGUUUUGAUCACAGUGCUGAGGUGUGCAAGGCAGAGCAGUCCUAGGCCAUGUUGUCACUUGUCUGUUGUGCACUCUGUGUCUUUUGGGUGUCUCAUGUGUAAUGUCUUCUGCCUUAGCCCUUUGAGGAGCCUCUUGGAAACACCAGGCAUCGUUCUUAACAUCUCCCUAUUCCUCAGCCCAGCACCUUUGACUCAGGAGCUCACACGCGCAUCAGAAUCGCAUCUCUCUUCAGAAGCAUCCAGUCCGAGGUCUUUUCAGGUCUUGUUCUGAGCUGUACUAACAGCUGUGCACCGCAGUGAUCCCUUAUGGUGGACUAGGCUUUGUAAGAAUGCCGAGCUAGGUCGAGGUAUCUGACUGUAGGGUUCUCGGGCAUCCAUCUUUGCAGUUCUCGGAUGAAGCAGUUCUGCUGGCAUCUUUUUGCUGCCGGGUUCUUUGAGCCUCAUCGGCUCCCCAUCGGUCUUACCUCAGUCAUCUCCUUCCUCAUUCUCUCGGCCCUCAGGAUCCUUCUUCUUGCCGAGCCUUUUUUCUGUCCCUGUUGUGUCCUUCUCAUUGGUGGUGUCCUGUGUCACAGGUGCCACGGUGUGCGUUUGGCCCUGCGCUGCUCUGCCCUGCUGCGUGGCCUGGGUGUAGGGGUAAUAGGACAUGUCCUGGGGACUUGAAAUUUGCAGUGUAGGGUGUAGUGGGAGUGUAGAGGGUAUUUCUAGAUGGGCACAAGAUGCCUGGAGCUUUUAAGUUAUCCUGCAGCACUCUGUUUUGUCCUAACUCUCUUUCAGAUGCGGAUGGAUUAGAUCCGUGGCGGAGGGCCCCAUCCCGGGUGAGGGGCUCGGCCCCAAGCAGGAAGCAUGGCUGCAUUGCAGCAGUCAGGGUGAAGCAAACAAGGGGGUCCACUUGCAUCACGCCAAACUCCCCUCAGUGACCUGACGACGGAGCCGCUUCGCCUGUCUUGUGAGCCCUCGAGGAGCAUGAUAGGACUCCGUGAUGAAGCCUCGAUCUUUUCUGUUUGAAGGCGCCAUCCGGGUAGACUGCGGUAUACCCUGCGACGUUGGCAUGCAGCUCGAGGAUCCGGGCAUUCUUGGGAGACGCCGACUGAGAGACAACAGCCUGCUGCCGGCGGGAAAUUCCUCGAGGGCAAGGCGGCCUUGUUUUGCACCCAACGCCGAUUGGCAUUCCCAGACAUCAAAGAGAUAAGUGGAGGGCUGUGAGCCACAGAGGGGUUGAAAGCGGGGCGGGCGGUCAGGAGUUAGCGGGAGGGUUUUUUGAGUCCGAUUUGCAUUCCAGGAUGGCGAAGGUGUGGCCCCUUAGGCUACCUAAAGGGAAAGUCUCACUUUUGAUUGUGGUGCUGAGCUGUGCAGGGCAGAGCAGUCCCAGGCUAUGUGGAGUCACUUUUCUGUUGUGCACUCUGUGUCUUUUGGGCGUCUCACAUUUCGUGUCGCUUUCCGUAGCCCUGCAAGGGACCUUUUGGAAACCCUGGCUUUGGUCUUAGCAUUUGGGAUCUCUGCGUUCCUUGGCUCAGCGCCUUUAACUCAGGAGCAUGCACAUGCGUUGGAAUUGCAUCCCUCUUCAGAAGCAUCCAGUCCGAGGUCUUUUCAGGUCUUGUUCUGAGCUGUACUGACAGCUGUGCACCGCAAUGAUCCCUUAUGGCAGAUUAGGCCUUGUAAGAAUGCCGAGCUAGGUCGAGGUAUCUGACUGUAGGGUUCUCGGGCAUCCAUCUUUGCGGUUCUUGGAGGAAGCAGUUCUGUUGGCAUCUUCUUGCUGCCAGGUUCUCCGAGCCUCAUUGGCUUCUCAUUGGUCUUACCUCAGUCAUCUCCUUCCUCAUUCUCUCGGCCCUCAGGAUCCUUCUUCUUGCCGAGCCUUUUUUCUGUCCCUGUUGUGUCCUUCUCAUUGGUGGUGUCCUGUGUCACAGGUGCCACGGUGUGCGUUCGGCCCUGCGCUGCUCUGCCCUGCUGCGUGGCCUGGGUGUAGGGGUAAUAGGACAUGUCCUGGGGACUUGAAAUUUGCAGUGUAGGGUGUAGUGGGAGUGUAGAGGGUAUUUCUAGAUGGGCACAAGAUGCCUGGAGCUUUUAAGUUAUCCUGCAGCUCUCUGACUUUUGUCCUAACUCUCUUUCAGAUGCGGAUGGAUUAGAUCCGUGGCAGAGCCCACCAAGGAGGAAACAGUUGUGUGUGAGAGACGUGCACACUGAAGUUUGAGGAGGACGGAAGUCUUUGUAUUGAUGGAAAGAGGAACACCAGGGAAAAACUUCUGCUUGUGUCCUCAGAGAGCAGUGGGAAGAGCCCGAGAGAAAUAUUGGCUGCUUGAGGGAUCCUUGUGUCCGCUCUGGAAUAAAUCCCUGCAUCUCCUCAGACCUGCUGGUUUGCAGCAAAAUUUGGACACAUUUUGCUGCUAUGUUGGUUCUUAAUAACUGGAAAUCCCUGGAUUUCUGGAUGAUUUCCAUAGGUUCUCCUAUUUAGUAGGAGCUGCAGAGUGAGGUUAGUGUUCUGAGGGAGGCCCUGGCAAAGCUGCCAAAGGCAAGGAACAUGGAGGGUGCAGGGAGCAUCCGAGGGGAUUCUCCCACCUGAGUUUCUCACGGCCAGUACAGUGCUGGCUGUACUGCUGGAUGUUGAACCUGGGUUUGGGGUGUUCUCCUGCAGUCCCAGCUCCAACUGCUGCCCCUGUGCCCAGACCUUGCCAUGUCCCGGCACUAAACCCAGGCAGCUGCGUGUGCUUUUCCAGCCCUUUAAUGCCACGGGGAGUCCCAGAUUGCCAGAGCUCCCCAAUGCACAGCCUGGACUCACUCUCUGGGAGAGGCACUUCCAUCUGCCUGAAGCAAGGAUGUCCUGCCCAGGUUUGCCACUUUAUUCCUGUUGUUUUUCCUCUUCCAGGUAGUUGGCAAAAAUGGAGAGAGCCACUGGGAAGCAAAGCCACUGGAAGGCCUUAUACCCCGUCCAAGGUACUUCUUUUCUCUCUGACGCCUGGAUAAUUGCUUGACCAUAACCAGAGACUGUCCAUUUGAUUUUCCAAUAAAUGGUUACUUUCAGCUGGAGUGUGUUCCUGGGGUCAUCCUCCUCCUUCUCUGUUGGAACGGCAUGUUGUUAACACGGAGGCAGGAGGUCUGCAGUGAAAGGCUGCUCCCCAAAAAGAGGGCCAGCCUGUUUAUUUCUUCCAUUUUUAUACGUUUGUGGGUCUGGUUAUGGAUUGGCUUCUGAGGUUACUACCCCUUCACCCCACUGGCCAGACCAGCUGUCAACCAACAUUAUUUUCAGGCUAGAAAUAUGUAAACAAAGGACAGUGAACAAAAACAAGAACGGUUGCUUAUGUUCCAAAGUGUGAGAAAGUGAAAAACUGACCCUUCAUAUUGAACAGAAACUAAAGAUCUGACUCCAUCUUAUGAACAAGUAGAAGGCUUUAAAAAAACUCAGAAAAACCAGGGCAACACUCCUCCUCCAUGGAUUUGUAAAUAAAGUUCCUGACUUUUGCCAAGUAGACUUUUGUUAUUCUGAGAAUUGUGGCUCUUUUGUUCCGUUGAAACUUCCCCACUCUGCCAAGAGUUUCAGAUGUCAAAUACAAGUAAGACUGGAGUUUCUUUGCAUUGUUACUCCCACAAAAUACAGAUCAUUCUUGGAUAGGAGAAACUUGACAUGUUUAGUUCACGCUACCCUUUAAAAUCAGAGCAGAGGAAGCAGAUUUUAAAUAAUCAUAAGCUUCCACCAACUUCCUGCCUGUUCCAAAAGUUUUUACUUAUAGAAAUUCCUGAGGUUGUUUUCCAGGCAAGUUGGGAUUUACAUGUUAUUCGUUCCUUUUAUUUGAUGUUUUUCCUCUCUCUGAUUUUAGUAAGGGAAUAUUUAUUUCUUCGAAUAUUCCAUACUAAUUGGAAUUUUUGUACAGCUUAGGGCACAUUGCCAAGGAAAUGUACCAAAUUAAUGUUAGUAAAUCAAGCAUUGUUCAGCACCGUAUCCACAGAAUUCUGUAAAUUCCCAGGAAAACUUGCUGAGUCUUUAGAUGCCAUAAUGAAUCUCUCUGUAAAGUUAAAUUUACUGCAUUUUAAAUUACAUGAAUCCCAUUAAAACUUAAAUCCUGGCCUAAUUGCUGUUCCUUGGAUGCCAUGUUGUGGUUCUUUCCUGUCUUGGUACAUUUGUUUCCCACUAAAAUAGAAUUUGUUUCCAAGCAAAACUAGUAAUUGUCUCCCUUAUUUUCUGGGAGGCACUGGGUUUUUUUCCCCUAUCCCUACAUCACUGAGGAUGCUCCCAGAGCUGUGUUAGGCAAGGGCAUGAUGUGAGAGUGACAUUUAUUUAAUUUUGUAUUUUUUUAACUUAUUGUUUAGUGUAUUUUUUUUAAUGGUUUGUUUUUGGGUUUUAUUUCUUAAUAAUUUCUUCUUUUUUAUGGUAUUAUUUUAUUUUGUUCUAUUUUUAAAUUUUAUUUUAUGUUUUGCAUUUUUAAAUGUUUUUAUUUGUUAAUUAAUUUUAUUUAAAUUUAUUAUUUGUCUUUUACUUUUCAAAAUCACUUGUAAAUUGUUUUAAUUUUUUUAUAUUUGUUUAUAGGUUAAUAAUUUUAAAUGUUAUUUAUUUUGUAUUUUCUAUUUUUGUCUUUUAUUUUUAAAUUUUUAUUUUGUUUUUAAUUUUUAAUGUAAUUUAAAAAUAUUUUUCUUUUAGGUUUACAUUUUAUUUUUUUAAUUACUUCAAAUAUUUUUAGGGUUUAUUUUUAAUAUUUUUAAAUUUUAUUUUAAAUUUUUUCAUUUUACAUUUUCAUGGUUCCUGUUUUCUUCUUUUUUUUUUUUUUUCCCCCUUUACUAUUUCUUACCCCAAGUAUGGGAAAGUUUGGCUGUUGGCAACAAAGAAAUUAAAAAACGACAUCCAUGUCCACGGGACGUCUGGAUAUAAUUGAGAGUGCAGUUAACAAAACUUCUGUAUUUUCUGCUAAAUUAAAAAACCUGAAUGGAGAAAGCCGUGAACACCAUGGUGCCAUCUUUUGUCCUUUUAACCCCCUAAUAGGUCUCAUUCUACCCAUUUUCAGUAUUGCCACCAGUAACUUGAUGUUGAGAUGUAUUUCAGACAUAGCAAUAAAACAAAAUAAACUUUUUGUUUUCUAGCUCUCCAAACCUCAUUGUUUAUUAACCAGAAAACCAAAAUGAAGAAAAAAAAAACCAAAACAACCACUACAAACAACUAAAAAACCCCAAACAACAACAACAACAAAACACAAAAAGAAAAUAUACUAAUAUUAUCUUAAUAAAAAUUAAAUUUUUACCCCUUUGAAAAAUAGGCUAAUGUAAUUCUGAUUAAAUGUGGUUCUAAUGUGUUAGGUUAAUGAAUUCAUAUAGUGUAAAAUAUAAACCAACAACAACAACAACAAAAAAUCAA